CCACAGGCAGGGAGAAGAGGAAAACUUGAAGGAGAGCUGGCUGAUAUGAUGGAGAGGAGAAAGGUAGACAUAUUGUGUGUGCAAGAGACCAAGUGGAAGGGAAGUAAGAGCAGGAGCAUAGGAGGUGAGUUCAAGUUGUUGCAUCAUGGUAAGGAUAGGAA